CAGCUAUCAGGCUGAUAACUGAUCUGUCUACUUACCCCGAACAUUAAAUUAGUUUGAAUAUAGAUGUUCUUUACAUUCUGCCCUUUUCGAUGCUCCUUUUCUCUUCUCAUUUAAGUACCAGGAGGAGCUCUUCUUUCUGAGGGUGAACAAGAUCCUCUGAUUCCUCCACCUCGCGGUGCCUUUUGGAGAGUGACUUCUUUGUUGCUGCUGGCUGAAUGAUUGCUCAUUCAUUCCUCCAUGAUGGGCCGGGCCUUGGAGGACUCAGCCCAGCUGUUCUGCAUGUGCUCUUUGGUGGAAGCCCAGAAGAAGUCAUGAUGAAAAUAUCAAGGACUGUGCUGACCUCGAUAUCCGCAAGACAGUCAAAGUGCUGGAGGGUACAGAAGAAUUGUCAUCUGAAGGAAAGAACAAUACUAAUGAGUUGUCACUGUCUUGGGAUUUGCCUCAAGUCACAUGUGAGAACAGAAGAUGCUGCUGGACAAGCUGAUGCUCCACGCAGAACUUGGAAGAAGCUCAAGACGGGUUAAACAGUUACGAAGGGGCUUAAAAGAGACGCUGAUCUGGCCUUUGCUAACUGAGAGGAAAGACACAAUUCCCCUCCUCUUUCCAAGAGCAUGUGAUGUACAGCGCACACCACAGGUCAGUGACCCCGUGAACUCACACUAGUGACUUUCUCAGAAAUGACAUGCGUUUUCUACUCUCAUGCAGACUUUGGUUAAAGUGAAGUUUUGGGAUCUGAAACGGGUUGCAGGGAAAUAAUCACAUUCAGCUUUUGAUCACUGGUUUCCUCCCUUUAAGUUAAACCUACAUCACUGCAUAAGCAAGUACUGCUCAGACAUGGUUGUCCUGAAGUCUUUGCAAGUUGUGUUUCAUAGAAAUGAACUGACAGUAAUUGCUGCCUAAAAGGAAGGUAAACCAAUUAAAGUGUUACCGUGUAAAAACCUCCACUGUU